GGGGAUUUAGCUCAGUGGUAGAGCGUUUGCCUAGCAAGCGCAAGGCCCUGGGUUCAGUUCCCAGCUCCG
rfam:Rattus norvegicus chromosome X, whole genome shotgun sequence.